rnacentral:rRNA from 1 species
UACGAAGGGGGCUAGCGUUACUCGGAUUGACUGGGCGUAAAGGGCGCGUAGGCGGCUUGUACAGUCAGACGUGAAAUUCCUGGGCUCAACCUGGGGGCUGCGUUUGAUACGUGCGGGCUUGAGUUCGGAAGAGGGUCGUGGAAUUCCCAGUGUAGAGGUGAAAUUCGUAGAUAUUGGGAAGAACACCGGUGGCGAAGGCGGCUACCUGGACCGGUACUGACGCUGAGGCGCGAAAGCUAGGGUAGCAAACAGG